rnacentral:rRNA from 1 species
UACGUUCCCGGGCCUUGUACACACCGCCCGUCACGUCACGAAAGUCGGUAACACCCGAAGCCCGUGGCCCAACCACUUGUGGGGGGAGCGGUCGAAGGUGGGACUGGCGAUUGGGACG